GAUGAACGCUAGCGGCAGGCCUAAUACAUGCAAGUCGGACGGGAUUUGGGAGCUUGCUCCUAAUGAGAGUGGCGCAUGGGUGCGUAACACGUAUGUAACCUACCUUAAUCAGGGGGAUAGCCUCUCGAAAGAGAGAUUAACACCGCAUAAUAUAUUUUUAUGGCAUCGUAGAAAUAUCAAAUAUUUAUAGGAUUAAGAUGGGCAUGCGGAACAUUAGCUAGUUGGUAAGGUAACGGCUUACCAAGGCUACGAUGUUUAGGGGAUCUGAGAGGAUGACCCCCCACACGGGUACUGAGACACGGACCAGACUCCUACGGGAGGCAGCAGUAAGGAAUAUUGGUCAAGGGGCGCAAGCCUGAACCAGCCAUGCCGCGUGCAGGAAGACGGCCCUAUGGGUUGUAAACUGCUUUUGUACCGGAAUAAACCCUUUUACGUGUAAGAGGCUGAAUGUACGGUAAGAAUAAGGAUCGGCUAACUCCGUGCCAGCCGCCGCUGUAA
rnacentral:rRNA from 1 species